rnacentral:tRNA from 1 species
GCCUGGGUGGCUCAGUCAGUGAAGUGUCUGACUUCAGCUCAGGUUAUGAUCUCACGGUUCAUGGGUUUGAGCCCCAUGUCGGGCU